rnacentral:rRNA from 1 species
ACCAAAAACACCGCCUCUUGAUUACCCCUAAUAAGAGGUCCCGCCUGCCCAGUGAUAAUUAAUUUAACGGCCGCGGUAUUUUGACCGUGCCAAGGUAGCGCAAUCACUUGUCUUAUAAAUCAAGACCUGUAUGAAUGGCACCACGAGGGCUUAACUGUCUCCCCCUUCCAGUCAAUGAAAUUGAUCUCCCCGUGCAGAAGCGGGGAUGUAACCAUAAGACGAGAAGACCCUGUGGAGCUUUAGACAACAAAGUAGCACCGGUAAAAAACACUCACUAAACGAGAUAAAACGUAGGAAGGACUAUCUUGCUGUCUUUGGUUGGGGCGACCACGGAGUAAUAUAAAACCCCCGUGUGGAAUGAAGAACUAAUACGAAUGUAUCUUUCAAACCAAGAAUGUCAAUUCAAAGUAACAGAACAUCUGACCUUAUAUGAUCCGGCCAUGCCGAUCAACGAACCCAGUUACCCCAGGGAUAACAGCGCAAUCCUCUCCCAGAGUCCUUAUCGACGAGGGGGUUUACGACCUCGAUGUUGGAUCAGGACAUCCUAAUGGUGCAGCCGCUAUUAAGGGUUCGUUUGUUCAACGAUUAAAGUCCUACGUG